CGGGUGGUAAUACCGGAUGCUCCGCUCCAUCGCAUGGUGGGGUGGGAAAUGCUUUUGCGGCAUGGGAUGGGGUCGCGUCCUAUCAGCUUGUUGGCGGGGUGAUGGCCCACCAAGGCGUUGACGGGUAGCCGGCCUGAGAGGGUGACCGGCCACAUUGGGACUGAGAUACGGCCCAGACUCCUACGGGAGGCAGCAGUGGGGAAUAUUGCACAAUGGGCGCAAGCCUGAUGCAGCGACGCCGCGUGCGGGAUGGAGGCCUUCGGGUUGUAAACCGCUUUUGUUCAAGGGCAAGGCACGGUUUCGGCCGUGUUGAGUGGAUUGUUCGAAUAAGCACCGGCUAACUACGUGCCAGCAGCCGCGGUAAUACGUAGGGUGCGAGCGUUAUCCGGAUUUAUUGGGCGUAAAGGGCUCGUAGGCGGUUCGUCGCGUCCGGUGUGAAAGUCCAUCGCCUAACGGUGGAUCUGCGCCGGGUACGGGCGGGCUGGAGUGCGGUAGGGGAGACUGGAAUUCCCGGUGUAACGGUGGAAUGUGUAGAUAUCGGAAAAAAACACCA
rnacentral:rRNA from 1 species